rnacentral:rRNA from 1 species
UCCGGUUGAUCCUGCCGGACCCGACUGCUAUCAGAGUGGGACUAAGCCAUGCGAGUCAACGCAGCAAUGCGUGGCAUACGGCUCAGUAACACGUAGUCAACAUGCCCAGGGGACGUGGAUAACCUCGGGAAACUGAGGAUAAACCGCGAUAGGCCAAGGUUCCUGGAAUGGAUCAUGGCUGAAACCUAUAUGGCCCCUGGAUUGGACUGCGGCCGAUCAGGCUGUUGGUGAGGUAAUGGCCCACCAAACCUGUAACCGGUACGGGCUCUGAGAGGAGGAGCCCGGAGAUGGGCACUGAGACAAGGGCCCAGGCCCUAUGGGGCGCAGCAGGCGCGAAACCUCUGCAAUAGGCGAAAGCUUGACAGGGUUACUCUGAGUGAUGUCCGCUAAGGGCAUCUUUUGGCACUUCUAAAAAUAGUGUAGAAUAAGGGGUGGGCAAGUCUGGUGUCAGCCGCCGCGGUAAUACCAGCACCCCGAGUGGUCGGGACGAUUAUUGGGCCUAAAGCAUCCGUAGCCGGUUCUGCAAGUCUUCCGUUAAAUCCACCUGCUCAACAGAUGGGCUGCGGAGGAUACUACAGGGCUAGGAGGCGGGAGAGGCAAGCGGUACUCAGUGGGUAGGGGUAAAAUCCUCUGAUCCACUGAAGACCACCAGUGGCGAAGGCGGCUUGCCAGAACGCGCUCGACGGUGAGGGAUGAAAGCUGGGGGAGCAAACCGGAUUAGAUACCCGGGUAGUCCCAGCUGUAAACGAUGCAGACUCGGUGAUGGGUUGGCUUCGAGCCAACCCAGUGCCGCAGGGAAGCCGUUAAGUCUGCCGCCUGGGGAGUACGGUCGCAAGACUGAAACUUAAAGGAAUUGGCGGGGGAGCACCACAAGGGGUGAAGCCUGCGGUUCAAUUGGAGUCAACGCCGGAAAUCUUACCGGGAGCGACAGCAGAGUGAAGGUCAAGCUGAAGACUUUACCAGACAAGCUGAGAGGAGGUGCAUGGCC